UGAAGUUGAUUUUAAACUAAAUGGGUUUUAGACUAAAUUCUGAGAGGAUAAUUUAGAACGAAGAACUGAGAAUUCUGUUCUUCCAAAAUCCUAGUCUGGUGUGUGUGUGUGUGUGUGUGUGUGUGUGUGUGAUUCACAGCAAGCAUCACCCAACCGAAAGCAAAUUAAGCCAUUUGUUCGAAUAUUUCAA